rnacentral:rRNA from 1 species
CCCUUUGCGGCAUCCUAUACAUGCAAGUCGAGCGGACAGAUGGGAGCUUGCUCCCUGAUGUUAGCGGCGGACGGGUGAGUAACACGUGGGUAACCUGCCUGUAAGACUGGGAUAACUCCGGGAAACCGGGGCUAAUACCGGAUGGUUGUCUGAACCGCAUGGUUCAGACAUAAAAGGUGGCUUCGGCUACCACUUACAGAUGGACCCGCGGCGCAUUAGCUAGUUGGUGAGGUAACGGCUCACCAAGGCGACGAUGCGUAGCCGACCUGAGAGGGUGAUCGGCCACACUGGGACUGAGACACGGCCCAGACUCCUACGGGAGGCAGCAGUAGGGAAUCUUCCGCAAUGGACGAAAGUCUGACGGAGCAACGCCGCGUGAGUGAUGAAGGUUUUCGGAUCGUAAAGCUCUGUUGUUAGGGAAGAACAAGUGCCGUUCAAAUAGGGCGGCACCUUGACGGUACCUAACCAGAAAGCCACGGCUAACUACGUGCCAGCAGCCGCGGUAAUACGUAGGUGGCAAGCGUUGUCCGGAAUUAUUGGGCGUAAAGGGCUCGCAGGCGGUUUCUUAAGUCUGAUGUGAAAGCCCCCGGCUCAACCGGGGAGGGUCAUUGGAAACUGGGGAACUUGAGUGCAGAAGAGGAGAGUGGAAUUCCACGUGUAGCGGUGAAAUGCGUAGAGAUGUGGAGGAACACCAGUGGCGAAGGCGACUCUCUGGUCUGUAACUGACGCUGAGGAGCGAAAGCGUGGGGAGCGAACAGGAUUAGAUACCCUGGUAGUCCACGCCGUAAACGAUGAGUGCUAAGUGUUAGGGGGUUUCCGCCCCUUAGUGCUGCAGCUAACGCAUUAAGCACUCCGCCUGGGGAGUACGGUCGCAAGACUGAAACUCAAAGGAAUUGACGGGGGCCCGCACAAGCGGUGGAGCAUGUGGUUUAAUUCGAAGCAACGCGAAGAACCUUACCACGUCUUGACAUCCUCUGACAAUCCUAGAGAUAGGACGUCCCCUUUCGGGGGCAGAGUGACAGGUGGUGCAUGGUUGUCGUCAGCUCGUGUCGUGAGAUGUUGGGUUAAGUCCCGCAACGAGCGCAACCCUUGAUCUUAGUGCCAGCAUUCAGUUGGGGCACCUCUAGUGACUGCCGGUGACAACGGAGAGGUGGGAUGACGUCAUCAUCAUGCCCGUAUGACCUGGCUACACACAGGUGCCUUACCAAUGGGGAACCAGGA